CUCUUUGUGGGUUUGCCUUGGCGUUCUCCAGCGGUAGAGAAAAUGCCCCAGUUAAUUUUCCCAUCCCAAUAAUAGCAGAAGGGUCGACUUUAGUGGUCACUUGAAGCCCUUCUUUUUUCAGUAGGAGGAUCCUGUAUGUUUGAUCUAGAUUCGGUCUCCCGCUGGACAGGCCUAAACAAUUUAAAACAAACAGCACUAACAGGAAAUCUUCUUAGGGUCAGGAAUGCAACGAAAAUAGCUCUAAGUCUUUAAUUCCAGGAGCUGCAAUUCACCACUUGGCUGCUUGGUCUGAGUUUUUAGAGGAACAAUGGGUCCUGUUCAGCACUAGAACACCCUGACUUUCUUUCCAGGAUUUUUGAAGGGUAUGUGCUUUGGUAUCUGAAUUAUAGCAGAAAAAAACACCAGUUCCUCUGGUAGAGAUGGAGUUUGGACCAUUAUGAGGUUUCUGUUCCCUGGGUUGCAUCUUCCAGAAGACUGUGGUUUUGAGUCACCUAGGAGAUGAGUGAGUUUGCAAGAUCUGCCUUUCUGCCCAGCAAAGAAACAAGCAGGAAGGAAUAUAUUGAAAAGAGAGAGGGACCAUUCAGCCUACCUGAUGGAGAACAGCACAGGGAUGCAGCAGGGCUAGUUCACAGUUCUUGCAGCCUAUAUAGCCAAGAAGACUGUACUUCAUUGUGAAUGGGGCCAAGCUGUGUUAUCCUGAAGCCCAGAGGGGUCGGCCAAUAUUUGGAGAUGAAUAAACCCUGGAAAUGUCCAGAACUGCUGAUACUCUUGGAUCUGCCAAGUUUUGAGAUGAACCGACAAUGUCUGUGCAUGUGCAUGUGUGUGUAUGUGUAUGCAAGUGUGUGUAUUUGCAGCAAAAAUACACAGAGGGCACUCAUUGGGUCAGAAGGACUGGCUAAUCAGAAACACAUUUUGAAUAUGGCAGCAGACAUAUUCUGACCGGCACCUCAUGAAGCCAAACACCGUGUCAUUGGGUUUACUACUCCCCUUACAACUAUCCCUCUGUACUCUUGAGUUGGAACAUUUCUUCCUCCUACUUUUUUGCCUCCUAGAAGAAAGAAGAAAGAAAGAAAGAAGGAAGAAAGAAGAAUGGAAGAAGAAAGAAGAAGGAAAGAAGAAAGAUACAGAGCCUCUAGGGCCAGAAUAUCUUGAAUACGGAAUAAAAAUGAUGAAUAGACCAUUUUGCCAAAUCAGUUCAUCAUGAGAAUUAGCCAACAGAGUAACCAACAAGAACAACAUGGUGAUGAGAAUCUUGCUUCUAGCAUGUAGGAAGGGCAAGGGAAAUUUUCCUAUAAUAUUCGGAUACUAUUCUAUUUGUGUUCCUAUCAUUAACAAGUAACAGUAAUGCAUGCGCAGAGGGUAGGUUGGUUUCAUUCCUAGAAAAGAAGGUGAAAGGGAAGCUAGAUAGCUCAGUGGUUAGAAAACCAGACCUGGAAACAGGAGGUCCUGUGUUCAAAUCUAUCCUCGGCCACUUUCUAGCUGUGUGACCCAGGGCAAGUCAGGUAACUCUAAUUGCUUUAAGCAUUACUGCUCUUUGCCUUGGAAUGUAUAUUUAUAAGAGUUUAAAAGAAAAGAAUAUGAUAAAGACUAUUGUUUAUUGUUGUCUAAGUUUAUAUGUCUUGUCUGUAAGAUAAAAUACUUCAAAGAGAUCAAUUAGGUUCAUGUCAAAUAAUAAGUACCUAUGAUAUGCAGGAUGUAUUUAUUAGAUUCUGUAGUUACAAAGGUGAUAAACAAUAUCAUCCUUGACCUCAAGGAAGCCAAUAGAGUGAGUGUCUUGGAGAAGAUAUAACUUCAGAGGUUGGAAGGGUUAUUCAUCUCUGAUACUCAUUCCCCCACAUUUAGCAGAUGGUUAGGUGAUAUGUUACCUCCAAAUCCUUGAAAGCUAAAAACAAACCCCAACUCAUAACUUUUGACUUCAAGGAUGUUUUAUUGAAAGGAAGAGUGGAUAGAGCACUAGAUCUGGAGUCAGAAAGACCCAAGUUCAAAUCUUGCCUCAGAUACUUACUAGUUGUGUGAUGCUGGAUAAGUUAUUUAACCCUAUUUGCCUCAGUUUCCCCAUCUAUAAAACAAGGGAGGGAAGGAAAUGGCAAACCAGUAUCUUUGACAAGAAAACCUCCAAUGGGUUCAUAAAGAGUUGGGCAUGACUUAAAGAAUGAAGAACAAUACAAGGGUUUUAUUGAAGGACAUAGCACAGCUGGCUGGGU
rnacentral:lncRNA from 1 species